ACCGGUUGAUUGUGCCGGAGCACACUGCUAUUGGAUUAGGGCUAAGUCAUGCAAGUCAACGGAGGCUUGCCUCCGUGGCGUAGAACUCAGUAACGCGUAGAGAAUUCACCCUACAGUGGGGCACAACCUCGGGAAACUGAGGCUAAUUCCCCAUAGCUAAUUCCGGCUGGAAUGCGGUUUUAGUGAAAGCGAGCCUUCGGGUAGCGCUGUAGGACAACUCUGCGUCGGAUUAGCUAGAUGGUGGGGUAAUGGCCCACCAUGGCUAGGAUCCGUACGGGCUAUGAGAGUAGUGACCCGGAGUGGGCAACUGAGACAAGGUGCCCUGUCCCACGGGAUACAGCAGGCGCGAAAAUUGACCAAUGCGCGAAAGCGUGAGUCAGCUAAUCCAAGUGUCAUCCUCACGGGUGACUUUUCUCGAGACUAGUGACCUCAAGGAAUAAGGAGAGGACAAGACCGGUGCCAGCCCCCGCGGUAAAACCGGCUCUUCGAGUGGUGUGCGUGUUUACUGGGCGUAAAGCUUCCGUAGGCGGGCCUUUAAAUUCCGGCUCAAAAACCUGGUCUCAAGUCAGGUCUCGGCCGGGAGACUGUAGGCCUUGAGAGCGGAAGAGAUCCUCGGUACAAUCGGAGUAAGGGUGAAAUCUUGUAAUCCCGAUUGGACCACCGAUGGCGAAGGCAGAGGAUUGGGACGCGUCUGACGCUGAUGGAAGAAAGCUAGGGUAGCGAGCCGGAUUAGAUACCCGGGUAGUCCUAGCUGUAAACGAUGCCGACUAAGUGUUCGGGGAACGGGCUUGACCUAGUUUCCCGAGUGCCGUAGCUAACGCGUUAAGUCGGCCGCCUGGGAAGUACGGUCGCAAGGCUGAAACUUAAACAAAUUGACGGGAAAUCACCAGAAUCCGUGGAGCCUGCGGUUUAAUUGGACUCAACCCCCGGAAUCUCACAAGAGCCGACAAUAGGAUGAAAGUCAGGCUGAUGACCUUACUGGAUUAUUGAGAGGAGGUGCAUGGCCGUCUGUAGCUCGUGGCGUGAGCUGUCAACUUAAGUGUUGCAACGAGCGAGACCAUAACCGCUAAUUGCCAGCGAGUUUCUUCGGAAACGUUCGGGUACAUUAGCGGGAUUGCCUGCGAGAAGUGGGAUGAAAGCGUGGCAACGGCAGGUCAGUAUGCCCCGAAUGCUCUGGGCUACACGUGGGCUACAAUGGUCCAGACAAUGCGUAUUCCGAACCCGAAAGGGUCAGGUAAUCGUAGAAACUGGAUCUCAGUUGGGAUCGAGGGCUGCAACUCGCCCUCGUGAACGUGGAAUGGAUAGUAAUCGCGGGUCAACAGCCCGCGGUGAAUACCUCCCUGGUUUUUGUACACACCGCCCGUCGCACCAUGCGAGGCGGUUAUGUCUGAGGUUGCGGUUUCGUGCUGUAAUCGAAGGUGUGGCUGCUGAGUAGGGUGAAGUCGUAACAAGGUA
rnacentral:rRNA from 1 species